rnacentral:lncRNA from 1 species
CACAGGCAACAGCCAGGACCUCACACAGCACCCUGCUCUCCCUGGCCACACUGCAGGGCUGGGACUUCGAGACAGUUUGAAAUUGUGGGUGCCCACUUGCUGUCUCAGACUGGGUAGGAGAGGUCAUUACGAGAAAGUACAAGUGUACUGGAAUAAAACCAAAGAAGUGGCAAUGACUAUAAAGUGAUUUCAGAGUGAAGCCAGUAUUACUUGCAUGUCCUGAGAAAAUGAGAGAAAUGACAACAAGAGUAAUUCUAGUCAUAAGCAGAUGGAAGAAAAUUCCCCAAGUGUUCUGUUGCUUCCCCCUUUUAACAAGGUAGAAUGCUGUG